rnacentral:rRNA from 1 species
AGAGUUUGAUCCUGGCUCAGGAUGAACGCUAGCUACAGGCUUAACACAUGCAAGUCGAGGGGAAACGAUAGAGAAAGCUUGCUUUUUCUAGGCGUCGACCGGCGCACGGGUGAGUAACGCGUAUCCAACCUGCCCACCACUUGGGAAUAACCUUGCGAAAGUAAGACUAAUACCCAAUGAUAUCUCUAGAAGACAUCUGAAGGAGAUUAAAGAUUUAUCGGUGAUGGAUGGGGAUGCGUCUGAUUAGCUUGUUGGCGGGGUAACGGCCCACCAAGGCGACGAUCAGUAGGGGUUCUGAGAGGAAGGUCCCCCACAUUGGAACUGAGACACGGUCCAAACUCCUACGGGAGGCAGCAGUGAGGAAUAUUGGUCAAUGGGCGAGAGCCUGAAUCAGCCAAGUAGCGUGCAGGAAGACGGCCCUAUGGGUUGUAAACUGCUUUUAUAAGGGAAUAAAGUGAGUCUCGUGAGACUUUUUGCAUGUACCUUAUGAAUAAGGACCGGCUAAUUCCGUGCCAGCAGCCGCGGUAAUACGGAAGGUCCGGGCGUUAUCCGGAUUUAUUGGGUUUAAAGGGAGCGUAGGCCGGAGAUUAAGCGUGUUGUGAAAUGUAGACGCUCAACGUCUGCACUGCAGCGCGAACUGGUUUCCUUGAGUACGCACAAAGUGGGCGGAAUUCGUGGUGUAGCGGUGAAAUGCUUAGAUAUCACGAAGAACUCCGAUUGCGAAGGCAGCUCACUGGAGCGCAACUGACGCUGAAGCUCGAAAGUGCGGGUAUCGAACAGGAUUAGAUACCCUGGUAGUCCGCACGGUAAACGAUGGAUGCCCGCUGUUGGUCUGAAUAGGUCAGCGGCCAAGCGAAAGCAUUAAGCAUCCCACCUGGGGAGUACGCCGGCAACGGUGAAACUCAAAUGAAUUGACG